rnacentral:lncRNA from 1 species
CCGCGCCUUCCCACUCUCCCACCUCUGCCCAUCCCGCCCUCUCACCAGAAGAGCUGGGUCCCUGGAGGCUUAACACACACUGGUGUGCGUGUUUCCAAACAUCCCACAGGAGCUGUUUGUGUCAGCGAUCUGGAGAGGGUCGAUUGUUCUAGGGCUGCAGACAGGCUGCUGGGGCUGCCCUGGGCCCAGCUUUAGCCGGAGCCUUCACCCUUCCCUUCCAUGGGGGUCUAAAUUAUCACAGUGUUUGACAAUUGAGUCAUCAUUUCCUCGGCACCAUUUGUAACCAUUUAUAACCUAGGAGCUCCUUGGGGCGUAGGCACAUGUGAAAUGCCACCUCCACCACUAACGAGCCAAACAAGGAAAAACAUUCUCAGGCCCCAAGAACAGAGGCUUCAGCCAGGGCCCAGAGUCUUUCCUGAAAUGUGAUCAUAGGUUAGUGACUAUGGUCACAAAGCAAAAGGAAACUCGGUGAAAUCAAAUGUUGGCUGUAGGUCUUGUCAGGGCUUUUAAUGUACUCAUAUACUUAUAAUUCUCACAACAGGGCUAGAGUGUGGCAGUUUCUCAACUUCCGCAGCUCCAGGACCCUUUGUUCACUGAAUCUUAGAGAAUCUACUUCCGGGACAACCCAAACUAAGACAAUGACCUCGUUCAGUUCGCUGAGCUUUGACCGUCAAGUGGGGAUUAUGGUUGCAGCCACCUUCUCAGCCACAGGGUGA